GAUCAUGGCUCAGGAUGAACGCUAGCUACAGGCUUAACACAUGCAAGUCGAGGGGCAGCAUGUUGGUUGCUUGCAACCAACGGUGGCGACCGGCGCACGGGUGAGUAACGCGUAUCCAACCUUCCGCAUACUCGGGAAUAGCCUUUCGAAAGAAAGAUUAAUGCCCGAUGGUUUCCCGAAUCCGCAUGAGAGCGGGAAUAAGGAUUCAUCGGUAUGCGAUGGGGAUGCGUCCCAUUAG
rnacentral:rRNA from 1 species